UACGUAGGGUCCAAGCGUUAUCCGGAUUUACUGGGCGUAAAGCGUCUGUAGGUGGCUAUAUUAGUCGGGUGCGAAAUCCAGCGGCUCAACCGUUUGGACUGUAUCCGAAACUGUAUGGCUAGAGGUCGGUAGAGGCACAUGGAACUCGCGGUGUAGGAGUGACAUCCGUAGAUAUCGCGAAGAACACCAAUGGCGAAGGCAGUGUGCUGGGCCGUACCUGACACUCAGAGACGAAAGCGUGGGGAGCGAACGGA
rnacentral:rRNA from 1 species